GAGACAAACCAAUAUCUGCAUCGCAUUAGUUGAAAGAAUAACCCGGAAACUUCGACUUGGGCCAUCAAGCACUCCGAGUGGAUAGCUUUGUGGAAUCAAAGAGCGGACCUAGUGGAGAAGGAAAGAAGACUCCAUACUGAUUCAUUAUAUGAAGAGCAUCUGAAGUGGCUUGCGGGACAUUACCGGUUGAAGCUAAAGCCCGGUUGGAAGCGUUCGUAAUUGGAAGAGUUGAAUCGUGAGGGCGGGUACAUAGACUUCAAUGUACAAACGAGAUACAACGAAGGGACACAACUUGACUACGCACAAUUACACGACCGAGUGGGCAUGGAGUUAUUGCAUUGUGUUAACGAGGCUGGUGUAGCACUUGGUGAAGAUGAUGGAAGUGAAUUAACGAAGAAAUCUCUUAGGAAAACAAUGAAG